GAUGAACGCUGGCGGCGUGCUUAACACAUGCAAGUCGAACGGAAAGGCCCUGCUUUUGUGGGGUGCUCGAGUGGCGAACGGGUGAGUAACACGUGAGUAACCUGCCCUUGACUUUGGGAUAACUUCAGGAAACUGGGGCUAAUACCGGGUAGGAGCUCCUGCUGCAUGGUGGGGGUUGGAAAGUUUCGGCGGUUGGGGAUGGACUCGCGGCUUAUCGGCUUGUUGGUGGGGUAGUGGUUUACCAAGGCUUUGACGGGUAGCCGGCCUGAGAGGGUGACCGGCCACAAUGGUACUACGAGACGGCCCAGAAGCCUACGGUAGGCAGCGGUCGGAAAUCUUACACAAUGAGCGGAAGUCUGAGACAGCAACCCCGCGUUCGUAAAGCCCGCCUUCUGGUUAAAAACCGCUUUCGCCUGUGACGAAGCGUGAGUGACGGUAAUGAGUAAAGAAGCACCGGCUAACUACGUG
rnacentral:rRNA from 1 species